CUACGUGCCAGCAGCCGCGGUAAUACGUAGGGGGCAAGCGUUAUCCGGAUUUACUGGGUGUAAAGGGAGCGUAGACGGAAUGGCAAGUCUGAAGUGAAAUACCCGGGCUCAACCUGGGAACUGCUUUGGAAACUGUUGUUCUAGAGUGUUGGAGAGGUAAGUGGAAUUCCUGGUGUAGCGGUGAAAUGCGUAGAUAUCAGGAAGAACACCGGAGGCGAAGGCGGCUUACUGGACAAUAACUGACGUUGAGGCUCGAAGGUGCGGGUAUCGAACAGGAUUAGAUACCCUGGUAGUCCGCACGGUAAACGAUGGAUACCCGCUGUCCGGCCCGUACGGUCUGGGCGGCCAAGCGAAAGCGUUAAGUAUCCCACCUGGGGAGUACGCCGGCAACGGUGAAACUCAAAGGAAUUGACGGGGGCCCGCACAAGCGGAGGAACAUGUGGUUUAAUUCGAUGAUACGCGAGGAACCUUACCCGGGCUUGAACUAACGGUGACGAAUCUAGAGAUAG
rnacentral:rRNA from 1 species